rnacentral:lncRNA from 1 species
UUGUUUUUAAUAUUUUAAUUUCCUUCAAUACUUUCAUCUGUAACUGACGUAACAAAAACAGACUUUUGUGUUCUCUCCAAAAUAUCACAUUCAAUAAUAGAGAUAAAUUGUUGCAUAGCAUAUACUUUUAAAACAACAACUUGCUUGAACCUGACAAUUAACAAAAUAAAUUAAUAUGAUCACAUAAUCUUGUACAACUAUAAAAUGCAUUAUUAAGCUUCUUCAAGCAUGAUUUAUCUAUCAUAAAAAGAGUUUUAAUAAAUAGGAAUCUAGUAUAUACAAAUAAGAAAAGGAAUGUCAAGAUUAUGUACAAUAAAAAAGAAUGAAAAUAUAACAGUUCACAUAUAACUAACAUCUAGAAUAAAUCUAUGAACAAUAUGAGGACGAACAUCAUGAACAAGCACUGUUAACUGAAAUGGAGAUAUGGGUUUAUAUUUACGAAUGGUUUCAACCUCGAGUCUGACUAGAAAUUUUGUUGAUAUAUAAUAUGCUACAAUGGCUUAAAAUGAUUAUAAAUAAAAAGAUGUUUUUAAAAGUCAAUUAAAAAACAAAUCCUCUUUAAUAAAGCUAGCCAGAGCUAUAUUUGGCCAUUUUCAUCAACUGGUAUUUUUAGAUAUUUUCAAGUCACAAGGAAAUGGAGUUGUAUACUUGAUGGACCCAGAUCUUGGUAUAUCCAAUCAGAUUAGAUCCAAUGUGAUUUUUUUACUGUUACCAUGACCAAUAAAACUGAUCACCAUCAUAUUGUUAAAAUGCAAACAUCAUCAGACAAAAACAAACAAACAAAUUAAUCUUUUAAACACUUGUAUAAAAAGGGGGAGCAGUGGUAGGGGUGAACAUUUGAGACACAUAGAAUAAAGGCAAUUUUGUUUUUGAGACUGACUUUUUCAGCAAAACUAUCAAGCAAGCCUUAGGGGAUAAACUUUAGUGUGACAUUGCUGCACUGAUAACUGACAUCAUUGCCCAAUAUUUUAGAGUCUCUAGUCUUGUCCAUGAUCUUUUAAAUAUAUGGCAGUAAGAUCAAAGGUAAAAUGUACAAAUUAUAGAUAAAUCCAGUACCCAACCCUUCCAUGUUUUUUAAUAACAAAAAGAUACACUCUAACAUAAAUGUUGUAUUGUUGACAAGCAACAUACCUUCAGCUAUCAAGAUCAUACUAAUUCAAGAGAUAAUUAAGAUUUGACAACUUUCUGAUGCAUUAAAGACUGAGGGUUUUUGUUCUGCUGAUUGCAUUUGAAUUAUAGUUUCAGAUAGUUAAUUAUGACUCAAUCAGUAACCUUGUCGUAUAUUUCAUCUUAAUUUCUUGACCUCAUCAUAUAUUAAUGAAGCUUAAAAUGGUGACCUAUUUCAACGACUCUUCCCUAACACACAUUACAUAGUAAGUGGCUCCCCCAAAACCUUUCAUAUGACCUUGUGAGAAUAUCUAAUGUUGAUUUUAUAUAUCAAAUAUUAAAUAACAAUUGCAGACACAUUCUCUGCUACCAAAUAUACUCUUUUCAAUAAUUCAUAAUUCCACAAAGUGACAGUAAAUAUGUAUGUUAUAUAAAAUCAAUAUUCAAUAAUCCUCUAGAGUAAAAACAAACAUUAAAUAGAUGAAGAACACUUCCAGCAGAAAAAAAAAUAUAAGGAGGCCAUGCACAAUCUUUAUCUUAUUCUUAUUCUAUUUUGGUUAAGAACAAAAUGCCAAAUGCAGGUUGGAAAUGUUUAAAUUUUAAUUUCUUAAUUCAAGUAUGAAAAGAAGCUCUAAAUAUAAUAAAGCCACAACAUUCUCAUAAGGGUUGCUGGAUUUUUAUUUAUAAAAAGCACUAGAUUUUAAUCGCAAUCAAUUUCUAUUUUUUUCUGAACUUCAUAAUGGGACAGAAUUCUAGCACUUUGCUCUUCUUUUUUAUAAGCAUUUGUCUUUCUUAAUUUGGAAUAAAGAAAUCAAAAGUAGCAAAAACCAAUUUAGCUUUCAUUAAUAUCAUAUUAUAAUUCAACAUUAAGUACUUCAAUUAACUAGAUGUAAUUAUUAAUGUUUAUGAAUUCUUUUAGAAAAAGUCAUGCUCACAAAAUUUUAAUGAAAAAAUGAAAUAAUAUAAUAUUUCAUGUUAAAAUUAAUGAGAUUUUGAUGGAUUUCUGGAAGAUCAAGUAUAUUAUCUCCUUUAAGAUCAAUGAAAAUGCUUUUGUUGAAUACCUUAGCAAAUGUACUUUUAAAAUUGCAUGUAGAUUACAUAAAUGGUGCUUUUUUUUUAAGACUAAAAGUUCCUUAAAAU